GAUGAACGCUGGCGGCGUGCCUAAUACAUGCAAGUCGAGCGAACGGACGAGAAGCUUGCUUCUCUGAUGUUAGCGGCGGACGGGUGAGUAGCACGUGGAUAACCUACCUAUAAGACUGGGAUAACUUCGGGAAACCGGAGCUAAUACCGGAUAAUAUUUUGAACCGCAUGGUUCAAAAGUGAAAGACGGUCUUGCUGUCGCUUAUAGAUGGAUCCGCGCUGCAUUAGCUAGUUGGUAAGGUAACGGCUUACCAAGGCAACGAUGCAUAGCCGACCUGAGAGGGUGAUCGGCCACACUGGAACUGAGACACGGUCCAGACUCCUACGGGAGGCAGCAGUAGGGAAUCUUCCGCAAUGGGCGAAAGCCUGACGGAGCAACGCCGCGUGAGUGAUGAAGGUCUUCGGAUCGUAAAACUCUGUUAUUAGGGAAGAACAUAUGUGUAAGUAACUGUGCACAUCUUGACGGUACCUAAUCAGAAAGCCACGGCUAACUACGUG
rnacentral:rRNA from 1 species